UGUAUCCUUGCUGGCCGAGUGUUCAAGUUCUCCUGAUGUGAACACAAGGAAAGCAUUAGCAAAUGCACUUGCAGCUGCACCGUCCAUGUGGACUUUAGGAAACGCUGGCAUGGGAGCGUUACAGAGACUAGCAGAAGAUGACAACCCUGCCAUUGCAGCUGCUGCAUCUAAAACCAUUCUUGAAUUGAAAAGACAAUGGGAAAUAGGAGAGGGAGAUAGCUGGAGGUUCAUGGUGGACGAAGUGUCACCAGGGGAUGUAGGGAGUCAAGAUGACAACAAUGGGACAUAUUAGAA
rnacentral:misc_RNA from 1 species